AUUGAACGCUGGCGGCGGGCCUAACACAUGCAAGUCGAACGAGUGGCGGAAGGGUGAGUACUGUAUGGGAAACUGCAUGAUGGAGGGGGAUAACUACUGGAAACCGUAGCUAAUAGCGCGUAACAUCAGAUGUGCCCAGAUGGGAUGAGCUUGUUGGUGGGGUAACGGCUCACCAAGACGACGAUCCCUAGCUGGUCUGAGAGGCUGACCAUCUACAAUGGAACUGAGACCCGGUCCAGAAUCCUACGGGAGGCAGCAGUGGGGAAUAUUGGCCAAUGGUCGCAAGCCUGAUGCAGCCAUGAAGCGUGUAUGAAGAAUGCCGUCGGGUUGUAAAGUACUUUCAGCGGGGAAGCGUUACCCGAAGAGGAAGCACCGGCUAACGCCGUGCCAGCAGCCGCGGUAAUUC
rnacentral:rRNA from 1 species